rnacentral:rRNA from 1 species
CCUACGGGAGGCAGCAGUGAGGAAUAUUGGUCAAUGGGAGAGAUCCUGAACCAGCCAAGCCGCGUGAGGGAAGACGGCCCUAUGGGUUGUAAACCUCUUUUGUCGGAGAACAAAACCCGGGACGUGUCCCGGACUGCGUGUAUCCGAAGAAAAAGCAUCGGCUAACUCCGUGCCAGCAGCCGCGGUAAUACGGAGGAUGCGAGCGUUAUCCGGAUUUAUUGGGUUUAAAGGGUGCGUAGGCGGUCCGUUAAGUCAGCGGUAAAAGUGCGGGGCUCAACCCCGGCGAGCCGUUGAAACUGGCAGACUUGAGUUGGCGAGAGGUACGCGGAAUGCGCGGUGUAGCGGUGAAAUGCAUAGAUAUUGCGCAGAACUCCGAUUGCGAAGGCAGCGUACCGGCGGCAGACUGACGCUGAGGCACGAAAGCGUGGGGAUCGAACAGGAUUAGAUACCCGGGUAGUC